rnacentral:rRNA from 1 species
GAGGAAGUAAAAGUUGUAACAAGGUUUCCGUAGGUGAACCUGCGGAAGGAUCAUUACUAGAGCAAAGGAUAGGCAGCGCCUCACAGAAGCUUGUUUCGUGGCGGGCUACCGUAAUUCGGUAGGGUUUAGAGUCGUCGAACCUCUCGGAGAAGUUCGGUCCUGAACUCCGGCCUUCAAUAAACGACCUUCCACCUUUGGCGGGCCGCCUCGCGCCAGCGGCCUCGCAAGCUGAGGUCCGCCAGAGGACCACAACUUUUGUUUUCUGUGAUGUGUGUGUAGCAUAUAAUAGGUAAAACUUUCAACACCGGAUCUCAUGGUUCUGGCAUAGAUGAAGAAUGCAGUGAAAUGCGAUAAGUAACGUGAACUGCAGAAGUCAGUGAAUCAUCGAAUCUUUGAACGCACAAUGCUCCCUCUGGUAUUCCGGGGGGCAUGCCUGGUCGAGCGUCAUUAUAACCCCUCAAGCUCUCGCGUGGUAUUGGGGCUCGCGGUUGCGCGGCCCGUAAAAUCAGGGGCGCGGCCUGUCGGCUCUACGCCUAGUAUUACUCCUGGCGGUGGAGUCCGCUAGGUCUACAUCCCAGCAACGCGCAAUCUUACAGGUGAC